rnacentral:ncRNA from 2 species
ACAACCCUAGGAAGGGGUGCCAUUCA